AUUGAACGCUGGCGGCAGGCCUAACACAUGCAAGUCGAACGAGCGGCGGACGGGUGAGUAAUGUCUGGGGAACUGCCCGAUGGAGGGGGAUAACUACUGGAAACGGUAGCUAAUACCGCAUACUAUCGGAUGUACCCAUAUGGGAUUAGCUAGUUGGUGGGGUAACGGCUCACCAAGGCGACGAUCCCUAGCUGGUCUGAGAGGAUGACCAGCCACACUGGAACUGAGACACGGCCCAGACUCCUACGGGAGGCAGCAGUGGGGAAUAUUGCACAAUGGGCGCAAGCCUGAUGCAGCCAUGCCGCGUGUAUGAAGAAGGCCUUAGGGUUGUAAAGUACUUUCAGCGGGGAGGCGUUACCCGCAGAAGAAGCACCGGCUAACUCCGUGCCAGCAGCCGCGGUAAUAC
rnacentral:rRNA from 1 species